AUUGAACGCUGGCGGCAUGCCUUACACAUGCAAGUCGAACGGCAGCACGGGUGCUUGCCCCUGGUGGCGAGUGGCGAACGGGUGAGUAAUACAUCGGAACAUGUCCUGUAGUGGGGGAUAGCCCUGCGAAAGCCGGAUUAAUACCGCAUACGAUCUACGGAUGAAAGCGGGGGACCUUCGGGCCUCGCGCUAUAGGGUUGGCCGAUGGCUGAUUAGCUAGUUGGUGGGGUAAAGGCCUACCAAGGCGACGAUCAGUAGCUGGUCUGAGAGGACGACCAGCCACACUGGGACUGAGACACGGCCCAGACUCCUACGGGAGGCAGCAGUGGGGAAUUUUGGACAAUGGGCGAAAGCCUGAUCCAGCAAUGCCGCGUGUGUGAAGAAGGCCUUCGGGUUGUAAAGCACUUUUGUCCGGAAAGAAAUCCUUGGCCCUAAUACGGUCGGGGGAUGACGGUACCGGAAGAAUAAGCACCGGCUAACUACGUG
rnacentral:rRNA from 1 species